CAUAAUCAUUAGUCUUUUAAUUGAAGGCUGGUAUGAAUGGUUGGAUGAAAUAUUAACUGUUUCAUUUAAAAUUAUUAUAGAAUUUUAUUUUUUAGUUAAAAAGCUAAAAUUAUAUUAAAAGACGAGAAGACCCUAUAAAUCUUUAUAUAUUAUUUAUAUUAAUUAUAAAGAUUUUUUUGAUUAUUAUAUUUUAAUAUAUUUUAUUGGGGUGAUAUUAAAAUUUAAAAAACUUUUAAUUUAUAUAAUACAUAAAUUAAUGAAUAUAUGAUCCAUUAAUAAUGAUUAAAAAUUUAAGUUACUUUACG
rnacentral:rRNA from 1 species